rnacentral:misc_RNA from 1 species
UGCAAUGAUGUGAAGGACUAUGAAAAAGUAACUCAGAGAACUUAAAAACUGAUUAAUGCAGGGAAUGCAAAAGAUAAAAUGAUCUCUGCAUGUAAAGUUACACUACAUAUUAUAUAAUCCUUGAUGCCAUAACUUCCUUAUCCUGUGACAUUUCCUACCACCAGUAUCACACUCUUAGAAUGGAAAAAAGAUAAUACUUACUGUAGAACUCAAAUGCACAGGCGAUGUUGUUAGCCAUGAAAAAUGACAUCAUAA